rnacentral:rRNA from 1 species
CCCUUAGAUGUUCUGGGCUGCACGCGCGCUACACUGAAGCGUUCAACGAGUAUUCACCUUGCCCGGGAGGGUUGGGUAAUCUUUUUAAAACGCUUCGUGAUGGGGAUAGAUUAUUGCAAUUAUUAAUCUUGAACGAGGAAUUCCUAGUAAACGCAGAUCAUCAAUCUGCAUUGAUUACGUCCCUGCCCUUUGUACACACCGCCCGUCGCACCUACCGAUUGGAUGGUCCGGUGAAGCCUCGGGAUUGUGGUUCUUGCCGCUUUAUUGUGGCGUGACCGCGAGAACUUGUCUAAACCUUAUCAUCUAGAGGAAGGUGAAGUCGUAACA